rnacentral:rRNA from 1 species
GACGAACCGUGCGAACGUUGUUCGGAUUCACUGGGCUUAAAGGGCGCGUAGGCGGGUGAUCAAGUCCGGGGUGAAAUACUCCAGCUUAACUGGAGAAUAGCCCUGGAUACUGGUCGUCUUGAGGGAGGUAGGGGCAUGUGGAACUUCCGGUGGAGCGGUGAAAUGCGUAGGUAUCGGAAGGAACGCCGGUGGCGAAAGCGAUGUGCUGGACCUCUUCUGACGCUGAGGCGCGAAAGCCAGGGGAGCAAACGGG